rnacentral:rRNA from 1 species
ACCAUGCAAGUCGAGCGGAUGAAGGGAGCUUGCUCCUGGAUUCAGCGGCGGACGGGUGAGUAAUGCCUAGGAAUCUGCCUGGUAGUGGGGGAUAACGUUCCGAAAGGAACGCUAAUACCGCGUACGUCCUACGGGAGAAAGCAGGGGACCUUCGGGCCUUGCGCUAUCAGAUGAGCCUAGGUCGGAUUAGCUAGUUGGUGAGGUAAUGGCUCACCAAGGCGACGAUCCGUAACUGGUCUGAGAGGAUGAUCAGUCACACUGGAACUGAGACACGGUCCAGACUCCUACGGGAGGCAGCAGUGGGGAAUAUUGGACAAUGGGCGAAAGCCUGAUCCAGCCAUGCCGCGUGUGUGAAGAAGGUCUUCGGAUUGUAAAGCACUUUAAGUUGGGAGGAAGGGCUGUAGGCUAAUAUCCUGCGGUUUUGACGUUACCAACAGAAUAAGCACCGGCUAACUUCGUGCCAGCAGCCGCGGUAAUACGAAGGGUGCAAGCGUUAAUCGGAAUUACUGGGCGUAAAGCGCGCGUAGGUGGUUCGUUAAGUUGGAUGUGAAAGCCCCGGGCUCAACCUGGGAACUGCAUCCAAAACUGGCGAGCUAGAGUACGGUAGAGGGUAGUGGAAUUUCCUGUGUAGCGGUGAAAUGCGUAGAUAUAGGAAGGAACACCAGUGGCGAAGGCGACUACCUGGACUGAUACUGACACUGAGGUGCGAAAGCGUGGGGAGCAAACAGGAUUAGAUACCCUGGUAGUCCACGCCGUAAACGAUGUCAACUAGCCGUUGGAAUCCUUGAGAUUUUAGUGGC